AUGAAAAAAGAAUUUGGAGGUCUAGGCAUUCCCAACCUCCAAGAGGUGAACACCUGCCUCCUAGGAUCCUGGGUUAAGAGAUUCUAUGAAGAAGGAGAAAAACCUUGGCAAGCUAUCAUAGAACAAAAAUAUUUGUCUGGAAAGCCUAACUUGUUUGCGGUCCACUCCAUCCCAAACUCUUCAAGAUUCUGGAAGGGAUUUCAAUCCAUCAUUCAAAAUCUGAAGUUUGGAUUUAGAUGGAAAGUUGGCAAUGGGGAGAGGGUCAGAUUUUGGGAAGACACCUGGUUCGGGACUUCGCCACUAGCUACCCAAUUCUAGCCUGUCUACCUGGUCUGUAAUGAGCAGACUAAAACUAUCAAAGAAGUCUGGGAUGGGGAAACCCUAAAAUUAACUUUCAGAAGGAACUUUGAUAGCAAACUCAUGGAACUAUGGUACCAGCUAGUCGAGGUCGCUGGGAGCAUUGCUCUCUGUGAGGAUUUUGAUUCACUGAUAUGUCAUCUUCAGAGUAAAGGGGUUUACUCUUCGAGCUCUCUAUACCAUGUGAUAAACUUUAGAGGGGUGCAACCAGUUUUCAUCCCAGCGGUGUGGAAACUUAGUGUGCCACCCAAAAUUCAUGUCUUCUUAUGGCUUUUCUCAUGUAACAAACUAAUGACCAGCGACAACCAGAGGAAAAGACAUAUUAUUAAACCCCUUGACUGUGUUUUGUGCUUUGAGCAUGAAACCAUCUCUCACCUGUUCUUUGAGUGUGUUGUAGCAAAAUAUGCCUGGUCGUUUAUAAUUGACCACUUCAGGGUCCAGACAGGGACUGAUUUUGAAUCGGUAGCCAGAUUCUGGAUCUCUAACAAGAAGAACUCGGCUUUAAAUAUAGUUUCUUCAGCAGUCAGUCAUGUGGUGUUUGUGGAAGUAUAG
rnacentral:rRNA from 1 species